CCGCCUGUCACACCAUGAGAGCUGACUGUACCAGAAGUCGCCGGGCUAACCCGCAAGGGGAGCAAGCGCCUAAGGUAUGGUUGGUGAUUGGGGUG
rnacentral:rRNA from 1 species